CCUACGGGAGGCAGCAGUGAGGAAUAUUGGUCAAUGGGCGCAGGCCUGAACCAGCCAAGUCGCGUGAGGGAAGACUGCCCUAUGGGUUGUAAACCUCUUUUAUAAGGGAAGAAUAAUGACUACGUGUAGUCAGAUGCGCGUACCUUAUGAAUAAGCAUCGGCUAACUCCGUGCCAGCAGCCGCGGUAAUACGGAGGAUGCGAGCGUUAUCCGGAUUUAUUGGGUUUAACGGGUGCGUAGGCGGUUUGUUAAGUUAGUGGUAAAACGUCGGGGCUCCACCUUGACUGGCCAUUGAAACUGGGGUACUCGAGUAUAGACGAGGUAUGCGGAAUAAGUUAAGUAGCGGUGAAAUGCUUAGAUAUCGCGUAGAACCCCGAUAGCGAAGGCAGCUUACCAGACUGUUACUGACGCUGAGGCACGAGAGCGUGGGUAGCGAACAGGAUUAGAUACCCGAGUAGUC
rnacentral:rRNA from 1 species